rnacentral:misc_RNA from 1 species
GAUGAAGAACGUAGCGAACUGCGAUAAGUAAUGUGAAUUGCAGAAUUCAGUGAAUCAUCGAAUCUUUGAACGCACAUUGCGCCCGCUAGUAUUCUGGCGGGCAUGCCUGUUCGAGCGUCAUUUCAACCCUCAAGCCCCCGGGCUUGGUGUUGGGGAUCGGCGAGCCUCCGCGCCCGCCGUCCCCUAAAUCUAGUGGCGGUCUCGCUGUAGCUUCCUCUGCGUAGUAGCACACCUCGCACUGGGAAACAGCGCGGCCACGCCGUUAAACCCCCAACUUCUGAACGUUUGACCUCGGAUCAGGUAGGAAUACCCGCUGAACUUAAGCAUAUCAAUAAGCGGAGGA